GCUAAUACCGCGUAAGCUCGRGAGAGGAAAGCAGGGGAUCGWAGGACCUUGCGCKRWUGGAGCGGCCGAUGACUGAUUAGCUAGUUGGUGGGGUAAAGGCCUACCAAGGCGACGAUCGGUAGCUGGUCUGAGAGGAUGAUCAGCCACACUGGGRAUGAGAGACGGCCCAGACUCCUACGGGAGGCAGCAGUGGGGAAUUUUGGACAAUGGGCGGAAGCCUGAUCCAGCAAURCCGCGUGGGUGAAGAAGGCCUUAGGGUUGUAAAGCCCUUUCGGUAGGGAAGAAAAGGUAUKUUUAAAYAGAGGAUAYUGAUGACGGUACCUGCAGAAGAAGCACCGGCAAACUACGUGCCAGCAGCCGCGGUAACACGUAGGGUGCGAGCGUUAAUCGGAAUUAUUGGGCGUAAAGAGGUACGCAGGCGGRUGUGUAAGUCAGGUGUGAAAUUCCUGGGCUCAACUUGGGGACAGCACCAGAGACUGCAUAGCUAGAGUAUGGCAGAGGGGGGUGGAAUUUCACGUGUAGCAGUGAAAUGCGUAGAGAUGUGAAGGAACCCCGAUGGCGAAGGCAGCCCCCUGGGCCGUUCCUGACGCUCAUGUACGAAAGCGUGGGGAGCGAACAGGAUUAGAUACCCUGGUAGUCCCCGCCCUAAACGAUGUCGACUAGUUGUUGGGGUUAUUAUAACUUCAGUAACGUAGCUAACGCGWGAAGUCGACCGCCUGGGGAGUACGAUCGCAAGAUUAAAACUCAAAGGAAUYGACGGGGACCCGCACAAGCGGUGGAUGAUGUG
rnacentral:rRNA from 1 species